AGCCUUCUGUAUCCAUGCUGAGAUUUCGUCACACCAGACCACAAGGGCUGAUGAGACUUCCAAGAUAAGUGAAGCG
rnacentral:pre_miRNA from 1 species